UGAAUACGAGAUGCUACGGCGUCGAAGCAGUCUAUGUCAUACUUCCAAGAAAAGCUUGCACUGUCAUAAACAAAUAAUGCCUGUACCAUAACCGACACAGGUGGGUAGGUAGAGUAUACUAAGGGGCGCGAGAUAACACUCUCUAAGGAACUCGGCAAAAUGACUCCGUAACUUCGGGAGAAGGAGUGCCUUAUUUAUAAGGUUGCAAUAACAAGAUCCAAGCAACUGUUUACCAAAAACACAGGUCUCCGCUAAGUCGUAAGACGAUGUAUGGGGGCUGACGCCUGCCCAGUGCCAGAAGGUUAAAGAAGUUGGUUAGCAUCCGCGAAGCUGAUAACUGAAGCCCUGGUGAACGGCGGCCGUAACGAUAACGGUCCUAAGGUAGCGAAAUUCCUUGUCGGGUAAGUUCCGACCCGCACGAAAGGCGUAAUGAUUUGGAUACUGUCUCGGAGAGGGGCUCGGUGAAAUAGACUUGUCUGUGAAGAUGCGGACUACCUGCACCAGGACAGAAAGACCCUAUGAAGCUUUACUGUAACCUGAAAUUGAAAUUGGACUCUACUUGCGCAGUAUAGGUGGGAGGCGUUGAGAAUAUUCUUGCGGGAUUAUUGGAGCCAUCAGUGAGAUACCACUCUUGUAAUGUUAGAUUUCUAACUUUGUAUCAUUAUCUGGUCAAAGAACAGUUUCAGGCGGGCAGUUUGACUGGGGCGGUCGCCUCCUAAACGGUAACGGAGGCGCACAAAGGUUUCCUCUGAACGGGUAGAAAUCGUAUCUAGAGUGUAAAGGCAUAAGGAAGCUUGACUGUGAGACCUACAAGUCGAGCAGGGACGAAAGUCGGUCUUAGUGAUCUGACGGUGCUGAGUGGAAAGGCCGUCACUCAACGGAUAAAAGUUACUCUAAGGAUAACAGGCUGAUCUCCCCCAAGAGUUCACAUCGACGGGGAGGUUUGGCACCUCGAUGUCGGCUCAUCGCAUCCUGGGGCGGUAGUACGUCCCAGGGGUUGGGCUGUUCGCCCAUGAAAGCGGUACGCGAGCUGGGUUCAGAACGUCGUGAGACAGUUCGGUCCAUAUCCGGUGUAGGCGUUAGAAUAUUGAGAGGAGCCUUCUUUAGUACGAGAGGACCGAGAAGGACAUACCUCUGGUGUACCAGUUAUCGUGCCAACGGUAAACGCUGGGUAGCUAUGUGUGGAGUGGAUAACCGCUGAAAGCAUCUAAGUGGGAAGCCCACCUCAAGAUAAGUAUUCUCAC
rnacentral:rRNA from 1 species